CCUUUCUAAUGUUGGCACAUUGGUACAUCUGCACAAAGAUGUCGGACAGCUGCUUGAAGAUCUUCCUUUGGAGAAAUUUUACACUCGAAAAAUACAAAACCCCAUGUUCUGCUGCAUGCUGGACUUCACUUGUUUUUGCCAUCACAUCCCUCAGUGCUGCAGUCAGACUGGAACAGAGUUGUGAGGUGAGGCUGUCCAUGCCUGAGAAACCGAUUCAUACUGAAGAUGAAGAGCACACAUGCAUCUGGCUCAGAUGAGGACACGCAGGCAGGUGGAGGGAUGCAGGGUCUUGUCCACGGCACUACAGCAUCUUCAACAUUUCCUUCAUCUGCACACUGCUGUUCUUCAUCGUCAUCACUGCACACACCAGUCUGAGGACAUUUCAGAUUAUGCAAAGCUCUUAAUAAAGAAGUCAUUUAACAGCA